CGGGUCGAGGCUAGCGGCCCCUUCAGUGUUACCCGCGGAAUGGCUGCCGAGUACCACGUCGCCCAGCCAUAGACUGUUUUAAUGGCGAAAAAUAAUUCCAAACCCAUAUGUGAUCCAAACCCUCUUCUUUCGUGCCAAGAUGUCCUAUCUGUACCAAGUUCAGGAGAUCUUAGGUUCUAUGCAUUGUCAGCCAAAGAGUGUGUAGACGACUGCCCGGUCAGUCCACUCUGUGUUUCUUCUUCAGGGAGCUCGGAUUCAGAGGCCUUCUCUCUCAUAGUCAAGUGUUGUGUAGGUGGUGAGUUGUGCACCAGGAUGGACAGCCACUGUGAAGCACACCAGGCCGACGCGGUCACAAACUUGCCAAAUCCUGAGUUUCCUACCAACAAAGUGCCUGAUACCUCUACAGAUGUGGAGACCUUUGGCAUGGUGUGUGAAGCACAAAGUGAAAGGGAUGUGGACCACAAAAGUAGCAGCAGCCAGAGCAUUUUAAGUGCUGAUGACACUGCCAAUGUGGCAGCUAAUGAAAUAAGCAGCACGCCAGUAUCAGCAGCUGGCCGUGAGUCCCCAGUUACAGAUGGUGAGGCGGAUGGGGCUGGAGCUGACCCAUACUUGCCUUGCCAACCUGUUGAAUCUUUGUCUGUGAUAUUCAGCUCCACGCCGUUACGUGGUCACAUCUCCGUUGUCGAUGCUUGCGUCGGCAGUGGAGAUGAGGAGCCCAAGGGCACCUCGGGGCCCAGCCGUCCGUCCUCGACCACUGCCCCUGGGUCCCCUGGGCUGGGGGGGUCCCCUGGGGAAACACCUGUGACCCCCUCUGGCCAGCAAGGUGUUGUGACAGUAAGAGCAGCAUCAAGCCAUUGUUGUGUAGGUGGGGCUGUGGCUUCCUGUACCACACAUGCGCUGCACAACACCUCUCAGCCAACCCAGCAGCCAUCACCAGCUGCAGCACACACACCUGCACAGGCCAGUCUCAACAUUCCUGGCUCAAUGGCCAACAAUAAUGCCAAUAGCCAACUCCAGGGUAGCAACCCUAGCUUUAACCAGGAGACAAAGCAGGCUAUAGCCAGCUUACUCCAAAUAAGUGCAACCUGCAACCAAUACGCUUCAUUUCCUACUUCAUCAAAAUUCCAGGCUGCAGGCAAGCCUGGAAAAUUUGGUUUUGCUUCCUUCCCCCAUGGCUUUAUUAAAGUUAAUAAGUGGGGCAUUCCACGUGGCUUGGGUCUCAUAGGCGGGGGGGAGAGUGCAGCCAAUGGGUGGGGUGGAUCAGCCCCCCAAACGGCUGGGUGGGGUAGCUCUGGUGCCAACCAGUCCGGUUCACAGAGCCAGUGGGGUGGAGGUCCCAGUCGGGGUGGAGGGGCCCCCAACACAUCACCUGCCCAGGGAGGUAACCUCAAGCCAGCACAGCAAACUAGUGGCCCUGCCCAGCAGCCCAGUUCUCCAGCAGGCCAGCAGAACACACAGACUGGAGGAACUGUAGGGCAGCAGGGACCAACAGGAGUCAGUCAGCAGCAAACUCAGCAGGGUACCAGCGGACAAGGAGGCAGUAGUAAUAACACUUGGGCACAAGCUGCAGGGAAAGGUCUUCCAGCUGGUAGUGGGUCGGGGGAUGCUCAAAAACGUCACAUGGAGCAGCAACUGCAGAGUAUCAGGGAAGCAUUGCUCAGCAGUGAAGGAUGGGGUGGAGAAAAUGUGAACCAGGAUACCUCGUGGGACCUUCCAGGAUCACCAGAACCUGGUAAAGAUUCAAGUGCACCCCAUUUUAAGCUUAAUGUCAACAACGGAUGUGACCUCUGGGAAAACAAUUUAAGGAAUGGUGGGGCAGCCCCUCCCAAAGCUCAGCAGGCUCCUUGGGGUCAUACACCGGCCACUAAUUAUGGUGGUACAUGGGGAGAGGAUGACGAUGCAACAGAUUCCUCUAAUGUUUGGACUGGUGUUCCACCCAAUAAUCCUCAGUGGGGAGCCAACACACCUAAUCCUCCUAAUAUGUGGGCUGGUGGUGCACCUCCAAAGAAAAAUAUUGAUUGGAGCGGAGGCGGCGGUGGCAGUGGUGGAGGAGGAGGAAGUGGUGGUGCUGGGUGGGGAGAACAUGGGCCACAGAGAUCUGGUAUUGAAAAUCCUCCCAGUGAAUGGGGACCUGGGGGCCCUCACAAACCAGGACCUCAUGUUGGACACACUGGUCCACACACAGGCCCUCACCCUGGCCCCCACAGUGGUCCACAUGGUGGUCCACAUAGUGGCCCUCACUCAGGUCCACAUACAGGUCCUCACCCUGGCUCUCACAAUGGUCCUCAUGGUGGACCACACAACGGCCCACAUGGUGGACCUCAUGGUGCACCCCACAGUGGACCUCAUGGUGGCCCUCACAAUGGACCUCAUGGUGGACCUCAUAGUGGCCCCCACGGUGGCCUUACUCACGGUGUUCCUCCCGGUGGCCCAGGAGGUCCAGCACAAUGGAAUGGUCCUAAAGACAUGAAGCCAGGUGGACCAAGUGGACCAAGUGGUUGGGAGGAACCUUCACCGCCCUCACAACGACGGGAUGAUGGUACAGCUGUGUGGGGCAAUCCACAGCAACAAGCCAAUGUGUCUCGGUGGAAGGAUAUGCCUACUCCCAACAUGAUGGGUAGGCCAGGCAUACCCGGGCCACAGCAGGGACGUAUGCAGGGACCGCCAGUUCCUGCGGGAAUUAAGCCAGAUCAGCGAAUGUGGGGACAACACCCGAGAAAUGGCAGCUGGAGUGACCCCCCUCACGAUACGGGUAGUGGCAUGUGGGGGGAGGAGCCAAAAUCAGGUGGAUGGGGUGAACCACAAAUUACAUCACCAUCAUGGGGCACAAAACCGAAAACCCCAACAGGGGGCCCUGGUGCUCCAGUUGGUUGGGGUGAAUCGGACAUGGAACUUCAAGGCUGGGGACACCAAAAUAAGAUGAGUGGUUACCCUCCUCUGCUUGAUCUCAGAUCUCCCAAAGCUCUCAUACCUGAGUCCCACUUCCCAUUUGGUAUGAGUGGUUACCCUCCUCUGCUUGAUCUCAGAUCUCCCAAAGCUCUCAUACCUGAGUCCCACUUCCCAUUUGGUGUUCCUAAGGGUCUCUCAAAAGAAAUUAUCUACAACAGCAAGCAAUUUCGUACACUCCUGGACAUGGGUUAUAAGAAGGAAGACAUUGAAGCUGCGCUUCGCAACAAUAAUAUGGGUCUGGACGACACUCUAAUGGAGCUUGGCAACCGUGGGAUAACAGGUGGUGGCGGUGGAAGCGAUGCCUGGCGCAACCCUCCUUUGGAAGAACAUAUUCCUUUCGACAUUAAUAACCCCAACUUCCAGAAUCGCUUCCCUCCAGCGCCUCACCCCCUGCCAUUCACUUCACAACAGGGUGGAUCUGGCAACUCUCCGCAUGUUCGUGCUCUCAUGAAUCACAUCCAGAUGGCAGUGCAGGCGGGCUACCUCAACCCCCAGAUCCUGAACCAACCCCUGGCUCCCACCACACUUGUGCUCCUCAAUAAUAUGCUCUCCCACAUUAACGUGCUUCAGAAGUUCUCCCAGCAGCAAACCAUCUGGCAAGCUCAGGCUCACAUCAACAAAAAUUCUUCACAAACUCUACUUCAGCUCAACAUUAAUAUCACUAAAACUAAGCAACAGAUCCAAAACCUACAGAAUCAGAUAGCUGCCCAGCAGGCCCUGUAUGUGAAGCAGCAGCAACAGCAUCACCACCAGCAACUUCAUUCUCAUGUGACUGGUGGCCCCCCUGGUACUCAAAAUGACUUCUUCAACAAGCCCAGUCUUCCAGAUCCACUGUAUGGUAGCUUCAAUCCCAUGUCCGUCAAUGAACCUACUGCAAUAAACAUUGGGCAACAAGGAAGCCGUCUGCAGCAGUGGAAGCUGCCGUCUCUGGAAAAUGAUGACAAUGAUUUCAUCCGUGCUCCAGGAGCCCCAGGAAAACCUGCCAUGCCACAGUCUCAUUCAUCUCCAAACUUAACACCCCUGCUGGGAGUAUCAAAUAGUACCUGGUCUCUUAAUCGCACAUCUGAGACUGGGUGGCCGGAGAGUAACAGCGGAGGCAAUGACAACAGUAGUGGCGUUGUCGAGAAAGGGGUGCCAAACAUGGACACGCAGUGGGUUGCUUCCUCACAGGCUAAUGCCUCUGGGUCCUAUGGCCUUGACAUUAAGCCUUUUGAACCAGGAAAACCAUGGAUGAUGAAGAAUAUUGAGGAUGACCCAAAUAUAACGCCGGGUUCAGUGACACGUUCUCCUUUGUCCUUGGGCAUCAAGGACUCGGAGUUGUUGUCAUCCAUCACCAAGACCCCGACCACCAACACUGUUUCAGAAAUGACCAGCCACCUCACCUCCCUUUCCCUUUCCACCAACACCUGGAGCUUCAACCCAGGACCCGGCCACCACACCACCAACUCUCCGUUGUCAGGAUUGAUGGUUCUACCCUGAAGACACUGUGCAUGCAGCACGGGCCGCUGGUCAACUUCUACCUAUCUCUCAACCACGGCUUUGCACUCGUCAACUACGGCUCACGAGAGGAGGCUGCUAAGGCACAAGGAAAUCUCAAUAAUUGCCUGUUGAGCAACACUACAAUCCUGGCUGAGUUCGCUAAUGAUAGUGAAGUUAAACAGGUUAUGGGCCAGCAAACCCACCAGGGUCAAGGUGCCCCACCUACUCCUGCCCCAU
rnacentral:misc_RNA from 1 species